GAUCUCUGGGCUGUUUCUGUCCCGAGCCUUCUCUUCAGCCAGAGCAGACACCGCUAUCCCUUUUGUGACCCUUGGGAGUGCUGGUGCAAAGGGAGCCCGGCACCUUGCACAGGGGAAACUCAUCCUCUGACAUAUCCCUGCCUGACAGCAGGGGUGGAUCCCCAAGGAUUCCAGCUGCUGCCAGGCGGUGCUUGUGGCAGCGGACUGGAGGGAUUGCAGUGAUGAGCAGAGGAAGCAGCCCCCUGGCUGCCGGCCAGCCAGCCCGCGUCCUCUCCAGGAACCGGCUUAUAAACGGCAGGGAAGUGAUGUAGUUCCACAGAACUGCUGAGGUCAACUGCUGAAGCCUGUUGUUUGAUGGGUUUCUAAAUAUUUUCCUCCAGGCCACGGAGACCAAAGCUGCCGAGAUAGAUGGAAGCGCUUUUUAAGAAGAGGGCAGGCUGCAUGUUGAGGUGCUAGAUGCCCAGCUCCCCGCGGUGUGGCACCCAGGGGACAGCAGGAGGGGACGGGGACACCAGGUUCAGGUUGUGCAACUGAGGCAGGAGCCGUUCUGCCAAAGUCACAUGAAGAAAGAGGGGCCAGUUUCCCAAUUUCUGCUGAUUCAUAGGCAAAAUCCCCCUGGAACAGCUGCUCCUUCCAGAUCCCACCCUCAAACCUACAAAAUAUCACAAUUGCUGCUGAUUGCAUGGGAUUCCUGGCAGUGACAGGGAAAAUGACACCAGAAAGGUUUCGUUUUUUAUAAAGUCAGAGGCAGAGAAGUAAUUCAAUGACCGGAGAGUCACUGCUAGGUCAUGGGGAGGCAGAUCACAUUUUAAUGCCUCACUUCUCUUGCCAAUAACGUGCUAGGGUGGUAGGACAAAAAAACAUGUGGGUUCAUCGAUUGUCAGCCUGGAAAGUGUUUGUGAUCAGUUAGGGUAAGCUCCUCACGGCACAGCCUCCAGCAUUCCCUGCAAGACUUUCGAUUUGAGCCACAGUUGCUCCUUCAGACAAGAAUUUAUGCAGAGUUUGUUGGCUUAGUGCUGAGUAUGUUUGGAAAGAGGUGGGGGUUUUAACCAUAACAGCUUGCUCUGAGAGAAAAAAAGAAAAAAACAGCAAAACAGGUUGAAGGCAGACUUGGUUUAAAAUAUGUUAGUGGCAAUAAAAACAUUCACAUUUGUUCCAGUAAAUUUAGCAUCCAAAAUGAAGCUUUAAUGCUACCUCUAUUUUGUUGUUGUUGUUCAUGUUGAACUUGCAUAUUUCGAAUGACAAAUGUGAAGAGAAUACUUUGAGAAAUUCAACUUUAAACGUUAAUAGGCUUUAAUUGUUAACAGUGACCUGUCUUACCCCAUCCCGUCCUGUCCUACCCUACGCCAGGUAUGUUUUCACCCUGCUCAGCAGAGAGGAAUGCGAAUGCCUUCUAACCAUGCACUAAAUGAUGCCGCUAGCAGCUGUCAUACCUGGUUUGCUCUCUUCCCUUAUCAGCUCCCCAGGGCAAGAUGUGUAUCUGAAAUGUGUUGGUAGAGGUGUUUAUUUUAGGCGUGCAUGCUGUUUGUAUUAGAUUAGGCAGAUUGAAGAGGUACACUUGAUGCUCGCAGUGAAUGACAAGACGCUUUUGCAAUUCCAAAUGUCGUCUUGGUUGUUUGCUGUAUUUAUUUCAACAUUUGUUUUCCACUUUUGUGGGGGGGGGGCUUUACCCCCCCAUCCCUAACACAAGCUGCUUCAUGCUUCUUUCCCAGAAUUCUCUAAAAACUAUUUUUUGUGACGCUACAUUAAAAAAUUGCUCGCCCUCUGCAAGGCAUCCCUAUCCCAAUCACAAGCCAGCGUCCUCCUCAUGACUUUCUGUCCAAAGUUGCUUUUUAACACAGGUUAUUUCUCCGACCUUGCUGGUGCGGCCGCUGUGCAAACAAGUUGCUUCAGCAAAGGGAAAGGGGGAGCAGCUGGGCUGGGGGACGAAGUGGGAAAUUCUUCAGCUGCUUUCGUUGCCAAACCUAACACAUCGUGUACCUACACCGUGGUCGCCAGGCUCUAAAAUAAAAUAAAUAAAUAAAUAAAUACGUAAGGAUAACAAAAAAGGGAACAAACAAACAAAACCCCUGUUGUACAGCAGCCGUGUCAUAUGCCCUCGAGCAUGUGGGAGAGGACAGCUGCCCUGAGCCUGGUCCUGUGAUGAGGUUUUCUGCACAAUGAGCCCUUUGCAUGAGCUCCUGUGACAGCAGCAGCAUAUCUGCUGUGCUGGGGUGUGUGACUGAGAGCGUGUUUCCUGCACUGAGCUAUUGGCUGUGAGGUCACCAGAAAGGGGGAAGUUCCCUCUGACACGCUGUUCCCCAUAACCAAAUGUAGGGUCAGAAUCCAGGCCCCUCAUUCCCAGAACCGAAAGGAGACAGAGGGAAAAACUCACGACCUUGCUGAAAGACAGGAGGCUCGAUUUCUUGUCCCACAAGAAAUUGUUCUAAAUCUGGACUAAAGACCGCUGGGAAAGCUGUCCUGGGAGCACAGGGGUGGAAAUUGUGGGUCUAUCUAAGACCAGGACAGCGGGUCUGUGCACCCCAUUGCAGCAAUGCCAGCAUGGACUGCCUGCUAGGCUGGAUUCAGUCAGAUGAGCCGUGCUGGUGUAAGCAUGGAGUACCCAUGCUCGGGGAACGCACUGCUUCCACUUCAACUUGUCUGAUGGCACCGGUGUGAAAGCUACAGGCGAGCCUCAGCAGCCUCAGAUCCCAGGGAAUCGUUUUCUGACGAGGGGCCACGCCAAGGAAAGGCAAGACGGCACUUGUUCCGUCAGCAGAGGAAAGUUGUCAUACGAGAAAUACCAUUACGGCAAGGCUAGCGGCCUACGGGACUUGCAAUGCUCAGCUACCCCACCGGCAGGUCGUUUUUUUAUCCAAGAGCAGCGAGGUUUCCAAGUUGUCAUCGCCCUGUGCUGAGUCCUCUGGCUACGAAGAAAAAAGGAUGUUGUUUCUCUUUGGGUCAGGGCGAGGAAUGUUUCCUUCCAGUAGUAGAUGAAAUCUCCCUUGAGUUUCCCUUGAAUUCAUAGGAUUCAGGACACAUGAAUUCAUUUGUUCCUCUGAGCCUGGAAAUUGCAAGCAUUGUCAGGGAGACCUCCUCGUUUGCCAGUGAAAUGAAUGUUUCAGGGACAUGCAUGCAAGAGCUCCUUCCAGCAACGCACACACAAAGACCUCCUCGAAGGAGUCCCUGGAGAAGACCAUGCGAGCUCCCUGCACGGAGCUAAGCUCGCCCCCAUCAAAGCCCCGUGAUAUUCCCUGUAAAAUAGCAACAGAAGGUCGCCGCGCCGCUCUGCUGGCUGCUGGAGAUUGCGGGGAAGGAAGUCCUUUCGUUUCAACCCUUCCUGCUGCAAUAAAAUUCAGAAGGAGAUGAAAACCAGCACUGACAAUAGAGGUAUUUAAAGAGAGGGAGCUUUUUGAUGAGACAGAUGGCAACUGUAAUUAACUUCGGCAUUUUCUCCUAUAAACCACAGAGUUUAAAAUCAAUUAGCUGGCUUUUUUUUUUUCUCGCUUUUUUUUU